CAUGUUUGGAUACAAGUUAUAAGCUCUUUUGAGAGCUUCUCUACAGAAAAUAUAUUAUAUAUUUCCGGUAGAGAAGCUCUCAAAAGAGCUUAUGGCUUGUAUCCAAACAGA
rnacentral:pre_miRNA from 1 species